UCAGUGACCGAGUGGAUAACGCGAUGGCGUUUGAAGCGAGGGUACUGGG
rnacentral:tRNA from 1 species